GACGAACGCUGGCGGCGUGCCUAAUACAUGCAAGUAGAACGCUGAAGGAGGAGCUUGCUCUUCUGGAUGAGUUGCGAACGGGUGAGUAACGCGUAGGUAACCUGCCUGGUAGCGGGGGAUAACUAUUGGAAACGAUAGCUAAUACCGCAUAACAGUAGAUGUUGCAUGACAUUUACUUAAAAGGUGCAAUUGCAUCACUACCAGAUGGACCUGCGUUGUAUUAGCUAGUUGGUGGGGUAACGGCUCACCAAGGCGACGAUACAUAGCCGACCUGAGAGGGUGAUCGGCCACACUGGGACUGAGACACGGCCCAGACUCCUACGGGAGGCAGCAGUAGGGAAUCUUCGGCAAUGGACGGAAGUCUGACCGAGCAACGCCGCGUGGGUGAAGAAGGUUUUCGGAUCGUAAAGCUCGGUUGUAAGAGAAGAACGAGUGUGAGAGUGGAAAGUUCACACUGUGACGGUAUCUUACCAGAAAGAGACGGCUAACUACGUG
rnacentral:rRNA from 1 species